UUUCCUUUUCUUAAUCGCAUGCAGUUACUAUUUUCCAUAUAUUAACACGCCGUCUGUCUACCACAUAGCCAUGAAUACGUGAUUUAUAUUAUACUUUAGGACAACUUCUAGCUAAUUUGAUUUACAAAGAAGUGAUGUAAACAAAUAUUGUAAAGUGAUCAUCUAUGAUUGAAAUGGUUAUUUUCUUAAAGUUGCCGACUAAUGAUAUUCGGAUUAUGUGUUAAUAAUAGAUUGAUCCGAAAAUGGCUUUCGACUUAUCCCAAAGGCAUUUAUGUUCCAGGAAACUAAGGGAAAACGCGGUGAACUAACUUGUUUAAAAUAGUCUACUUUUUUAAAGGAAUUUAAAUAUUUCAGUAUAAUUAUCUUUUCUCGUUUAUCACAAAAUCAUAGAAAAUGGGAAUAAGCUAUUCCAGCUAUUAUAAUAUCACAAUGCUACGGACGUAGAAAUAAUUAACUGCGAAUGUAUUUAAAGCCGGUCUGAAGUGGAAGUCUUCCAUAAAGAAUUUCUAAUCAGUAUAAAUAUCUGGAAUUAAUUGGCUUUCUACAAUUAAUUCGAUCUUACGAUCAUUUUCAAUACUCAAAACAAGGAAUAAAUCGGACCAGAGUGUGAUACUAUUGGAAACGAAGCUCAAAGUCUCAGUUUCGUGCGUAAAAAUCAGCGACAGAAUUAUCCUUCACAGGGGAUCUUUAUAGAUCAUAAUGAUCCACCUAACUUGCAAUUCAUUUGAAGGGCAAUUUUUUGGACAAUUGAUCUUUUU